rnacentral:rRNA from 1 species
CCCUUAGAUGUUCUGGGCUGCACGCGCGCUACACUGACGCACGCAACAGGUGCCUGCUCCGAGAGGACUGGGUAAUCAUUUGAGUGCGCGUCGUGAUGGGGAUAGAAUAUUGUAAUUAUUACUCUUCAACGAGGAAUUCCUAGUAAGCGCAAGUCAGCAGCUUGCGCUGAUUACGUCCCUGCCCUUUGUACACACCGCCCGUCGCUCCUACCGAUGGGUGAUCCGGUGAAUGAUUCGGACUUCAGCGGCUCCUCUGGGGUGCGCCGGAGAAAGUUUUGUGAACCUUAUCACUUGGAGGAAGGAGAAGUCGUAACA